rnacentral:rRNA from 1 species
CCUACGGGAGGCAGCAGUAGGGAAUAUUGGUCAAUGGGCGAGAGCCUGAACCAGCCAUGCCGCGUGCAGGAAGAAGGCCCUCUGGGUUGUAAACUGCUUUUGACAGGGGCCAAAAUACUCAUGCGUGAGGAAUUGAGAGUACCUGUAGAAUAAGCACCGGCUAACUCCGUGCCAGCAGCCGCGGUAAUACGGAGGGUGCAAGCGUUGUCCGGAUUUAUUGGGUUUAAAGGGUGCGUAGGUGGCCUUAUAAGUCAGUGGUGAAGGCCUGCAGCUUAACUGUAGGACUGCCAUUGAUACUGUAGGGCUUGAGUACUGAUGAGGUAGGCGGAAUUGAUAGUGUAGCGGUGAAAUGCAUAGAUAUUAUCAAGAACACCGAUUGCGAAGGCAGCUUACUAAGGAGUUACUGACACUGAGGCACGAAAGCGUGGGGAUCAAACAGGAUUAGAUACCCUGGUAGUCCACGCCAUAAACGAUGAUUACUCGAUGUAUGCGAUAGAUAGUAUGCGUCCAAGCGAAAGCGUUAAGUAAUCCACCUGGGGAGUAGACCGCAAAGGUUGAACCGUCAAAGGAAUUGACGG